rnacentral:rRNA from 1 species
UGAGGAAGAUAAUGACGGUACUCAACAAGGAAGUGACGGCUAACUACGUGCCAGCAGCCGCGGUAAAACGUAGGUCACAAGCGUUGUCCGGAAUUACUGGGUGUAAAGGGAGCGCAGGCGGGAAGACAAGUUGGAAGUGARAUCUAUGGGCUCAACCCAUAAACUGCUUUCAAAACUGUUUUUCUUGAGUAGUGCAGAGGUAGGCGGAAUUCCCGGUGUAGCGGUGGAAUGCGUAGAUAUCGGGAGGAACACCAGUGGCGAAGGCGGCCUACUGGGCACCAACUGACGCUGAGGCUCGAAAGUGUGGGUAGCAAACAGGAUUAGAUACCCUGGUAGUCCACACCGUAAACGAUGAUUACUAGGUGUUGGAGGAUUGACCCCUUCAGUGCCGCAGUUAACACAAUAAGUAAUCCACCUGGGGAGUACGACCGCAAGGUUGAAACUCAAAGGAAUUGACGGGGGCCCGCACAAGCAGUGGAGUAUGUGGUUUAAUUCGACGCAACGCGAAGAACCUUACCAAGUCUUGACAUCCUGCGACGAUGCURGAAAYAGUAUUUUCCUUCGGGACGCAGAGACAGGUGGUGCAUGGUUGUCGUCAGCUCGUGUCGUGAGAUGUUGGGUUAAGUCCCGCAACGAGCGCAACCCUUAUGGUCAGUUACUACGCAAGAGGACUCUGGCCAGACUGC